AGGACUGGGAUGAGCUGUGGCCAACCGGGAAGGAAUCUAGAAGAGAAAAUCCCAGAAAAGACUCCCUCCCAGGGGAACCAUUGGGGUGACUCUGGGAAAACAGCCUCCAUCUCGCUCUGUCUGGGGAAAUCGUCUGCCCUCUAGAGGCCAGUCUGGGUAGCAACGCAGGGAUGAUUGUAUUUCCACGCCUUUUGAGGAUUAGGAGGGAAGACAGAAGAAUACAGGUGCGAAGUGACCAGCCGCCUUGCUACAACCCGUCAGAGCAGUCUCUAGGAGUUCCUACGUGCUCACAUCUGCCGUGCAGAUGUCCAGGAUAAAGAGAAUCAAGAGAGAAGACAUUGUUGCCAGAGACCUCCCGCCCUGGAGAACAGAAAAGCAUCCUAAAGAAGAGGUUCUUCACCACAAGGAAAAAACCAGAGGAACAUAAAAAUCUCCAGAAGGACAUUCCAGGAAUCCCCAGUGUUUCCUCCUCCUUAGAAAUAGAAGACAAACUGGUCACUUGAUCUCUUCAGUUUCUUAGGAAUCUACUGAGCUCUAGUGAUGUGGGGGAUAUCAGAGGCUGGGGGGUGGGGAACUACAGUUAACCCAUAGCUCUGGAAACCCUGUUUAUGCCCACCUGCAGCAGCGUGCCUGAGGGGAGAGGGGGCAUUUUGUGAUACCAGGUGCCAUCAGACACAUGCCUGGUGAGUAGCCCAAACUCAUUCAUGUCCAAAACAUACUCCUGGUCACCAGAAAGCUCUCCCCUGAGCUCUGGGACCCAGACCCCUUCCAUGUGUCUCUUCAUCUUCAACAUGCAAUUUCAAAAUGGCGGUGCUCCUUGACAGGCCAGAGAGGAGAGUCCUGGAAGUAGCUCUUCUCACUUCUGCUAGAAGUUCAGAAAAUGGGUCAGUUUGAUGGACCUGCUGGCUGGUCUGUGCCCACCAAGAAGGGGGCAAUUUGGGUAUAAAGAAAGAAAAGAUAGUGGUAUAUCA